UGACCUCAACUCAGUCGUGAAUACCCGCUGAAUUUAAGCAUAUAACUAAGCGGAGGAAAAGAAACUAACGAGGAUUUCCCUAGUAACGGCGAGUGAAAAGGAAAAAGCCCAACGCUGAAUCCAAUAGACAUUAUAUGGCUAUAUGGAAAUGUAGCGUAUAGGUAUAACUAUCCGUAACAUAUUUUUACACCCAAAGUCCCCUUGAGCGGGGCUACAGUCCAUAGAAGGUGCUAGACCUGGUAUGGCAUAAAGAAGUUACGGUAGGUUAUUCCUUGGAGUCGGGUUGUUUGAGAUUGCAGCCCAAAGAGGGUGGUAAACCUCAUCUAAGGCUAAAUACGACCAUGAGACCGAUAGCAAACAAGUACCGUGAGGGAAAGUUGCAAAGAACUUUGAAGAGAGAGUUCAAGAGGGCGUGAAACCGCUGAGAUGGAAACGGAUAGAGUUAACAAAACUUAUCGGUAUUCAACCAAUCAAUUUAGCAAUCAUAAUUCAUUUCAUUAUUCAUUAAUAAUUUUUUUUUUUUUAUUAAUGAAUAAAAUGAUAUUAAUGCUAAAUUAGCAGUAUAUGCAUAGAUUGGUGUAUUUACCGAUGGUAUGCAUCGAGAACUUCAUUUUAGCAUAUUAAUACAAGUUAAUUUAGUGGACCAAUUAUUUCAAUUGAUAAUUGGAAUCCUAAAUUAUGUUGAAAUAUGUCUUAGAUGAAGUUUUUUUUUUUUUUCCCAUAUAUGUAACUUUCACUUGAAAUAAUAGUGACAUGUAUCGAUUAUAAUUUUGCUUAUUAUUAUUUUACAUGUGGUCGCAUGCGACUUUAUCGGUAAAAAUAAUUGGUAAUAUUAUAAUAUUGUAUGCAAUAAAGUUACAUCUCGAUGUGAACGUUAAUCACCUAUCUGACCCGUCUUGAAACACGGACCAAGGAGUCUAGCAUAUACGCAAGUUAUUGGGUAGUAAACCUAAUUUAAAAGAUAAAAAGCAUAAUGAAAGUAAAGAUUAUCUUUGGUAUAAUUGAUAUGUGAUCUAUAUAUAUAUAUAUAUAUAUGUAUGUAUAUAGCGUAACAUAACCCCGUUCAUGUUGCAUGCAAUAGGGCGGAGGUAGAGCGUAUAUGCUGGGACCCGAAAGAUGGUGAACUAUACCUGAGCAGGAUGAAGCCAGAGGAAACUCUGGUGAAAGUCCGAAGCGAUUCUGACGUGCAAAUCGAUCGUCUGACUUUGG
rnacentral:ncRNA from 1 species